ensembl:lncRNA
UUAUACUAUACACGGCCCACGUGUAGCCUAAAUAAUGCAUGACGUGACACAGAGGGGGGUGGCAGGGAGUUUAAAAGGUUUUCAGUAACUUCCAUUCUGGAUCCACAGCACCGAUAAUAAUGAUGUUCUGCAGAGCGGCUUGGCAAAGACUUGCGCCUCUGGCACGCAAAACGCUCACUCCUUUCAGCAAUGCUGUAUUCCCUACACGACAGAUGUCUUUUGGUCUACCGGCAUCUGGCACAAACAUAGCUUACGUGGUACUUGGUGGAAGCUCACUUACUGCUGCUCUUGUUUAUGCUUAUAAGACAAUAAACUCUGACAGUGCAAGAUAUAAUGAAAGAAUUGCUCAACUUGAGGCCAGACCUAAAAGUAAGGUAGGAGCAGUUGCUGAGGUAGCCUCGGUAGCAGAAGCAGAAACCACAGCAGCUGAGGUGAUUAAUGCAGAGGCUGAACAGACCCCAGAACCUGUGGAGGCAGCAACUGCGAUAGUAGAAGCAGUAGCAGCUGAUGCUGAGGAACCUACUGCACCUGUUGCUGAGGAUGUCACUGCUGAGGCUGCUGCUCCCAUUGCUGAAACAACCGUUAUCCCAAUGUCUGACCUACUGAGCACUGUGAAAAUCCUGGCUGGAUCUACAGCAGAGAUUGCAGCUGCUUCGGUCGGUGAUCAGCACCUGGUGGCCACAGUGAGAUUGGCUGAGGAAAAUAAUUCUAUGGAGACCCUCAAUGGGCUGGAGGUUGCUGAUGUUAAAGCAGAGGUCCCAACAGAAGUGCCUGAGCGAGCCGUGGUUGAGGAAGCUAUGAUAGGUAGACUGAAUCUGAAAACAGAAGGAAAAGAACUGGAGGAACUGCCAUCAUCACUUCAUGCAGUAGAAGAAACUAUUGUUGUGGAAGAUGACCAUGUCAAGUCUGAGGCAGACAGCCCUGCUGUGCCUGAAGUUAAUGCUGAAAGCCUUGCUUCAUCAGAGGAGGCCCUUGUUACAGAGAUGGAGAACAUUUUGGAAUUAGAAGACUCAACAAGCCCUGUGGUGAUGCUCUCAGAAGAUGACACUGUCUCUGGAGCUGUAGAGUUGACAUCAGAAACAGUUGAGGAAGUAGGUCAGAAAAUGGAAGAAUGUAAAGCGUUGUGUCACGAGCCAACUGCCACAGAAACAGCACAUGCAGAUCUCACAGCACCACCAGCAGACCUAGAGGACUCAUUACAGGCUACAGGUGCAACAGAGGCUGCAGAAGAAGUUCUUGUCAUGGAAAUGGUGCAGGAUGCUGUGGAGAAACCUAAACCUGUUGAGGCAUCAGAUGAAGCUGUUGAAAGUGGAAAUGUUGCAAUGACCAUGACACAAGCCUGAAGUGAUUGUACCACACCUGAGACACUGGAAAUGAGUGAAACUAUACAAUCUGUGAUGUAAUGAUUACUGAGUAUAACAUAUGGUAGUGCUGUUACAGUCAUAAAAAAGACAUCUAAAUGACUUUUUAUUUCCAACUGAAUCGCAAAUUUGGUAAAUGACUAUGGUCUCCUUAAUUUUGUUAUUUCAUCUGAAAAUGAGAUUUAGUCAGUUAAAACAGAUUUGAGUUUAAUUGAUCUAAUUUUGUGUCUCUGGAAAACAGUGAUCUGUGACACUGUAUUAUGCUGAAUAUCAAAGGUUUUGUGGGCACAUUCAUGUUGUUAGAUUGCUUUUUAUUUUAACGUGAAAAGAUCAAAUUAGAAUUAAGGCAGAAGGUCCCAACUGGCAUGUUGUUGCUAGUGCUUAUUGUAAUUCAUUAGGUUAUUAUUCAGUUAUUCCGUUAUACACAAAAUAUUGUAAACAUGCAUUGCAAUAAGAUAUUUUGCUUUUAAAUGUGUAAUCAAAAUGGAAGGAAAUUGUAUAUGAAAUGUGAAUUAAUCACAUCGAUCUUAAAUUUAUUUAUAUUUAUUUAUUUUUAAUGUAUAGGUGUACAGAACUGAUUUUAAUUUAACUUGAAUUAAAUUUAAAUUCAUAGUGUUGCUAUUAUGAUGUACAUUAAAUUAAUAUAUGGUCAAUUAGAUAUGUAAGUUGUAGCAUAAAUUUACCUUUCAUAACCUUUCAUAAUUAUCUCACUGGGAUUUUAUCUGUAAUUGAUAAAUUAUUUAGUUGAUCUGUCAAAGCACAAUUUUAAAUAGUAUUUUAUAAUUACACACACACACAGAGAGAGAAAGAGAUUGUUAUGCUUGAGUUAAUUUAUUAUGUGAUUGUGCAUUCUGAAUGAGAACAUGAUUAAACUAUUGAGUAUUGCAGAGAACAUAGAACAAAACUGAAAUGUGUGUUUAAAAAAAAGUUAAUUAUUUUAAAUGCAUCUUUGUUUCAAGAACUGCAUGAACUGUUUUGGAAAUUAGACCAACUGAAUUUGUUUUUUAUAGUGUUAACACUUUAAAAACAUUGUGUUAUAGUGUCUGAAAUGAAUCUCUACUAUGUGCUCUCACCAGUUCUUGGCAAGGCAUAAUACUUGUGAAGUCAUUAUUUACAGAAAGAGUGUAUUUACAUUAAACUCAUUCAAUAUCUGAUUUUCAAAAUUGUCUCUUACUAAUUCACAAGCAGUCCGGACACAACAAGUAGCCAAAAUACAAGUAGUCAGAACAUUCAUUCUAGACUUGUAGUAUUAUAUAUUGUUGUUGUUUGUUUGUAAAUAUCCAUAUAAUUUAGUUAUUUUAUUUUAACAUUAGUUAAUAAAUUAACAAACAAGCUUAGUGUUAUGCA